rnacentral:rRNA from 1 species
AACCUGCGGAANGGAUCAUUA